AGAGUUUGAUCCUGGCUCAGGAUGAACGCUGGCGGCGUGCCUAAUACAUGCAAGUCGAGCGAACGGACGAGAAGCUUGCUUCUCUGAUGUUAGCGGCGGACGGGUGAGUAACACGUGGAUAACCUACCUAUAAGACUGGGAUAACUUCGGGAAACCGGAGCUAAUACCGGAUAAUAUUUUGAACCGCAUGGUUCAAAAGUGAAAGACGGUCUUGCUGUCACUUAUAGAUGGAUCCGCGCUGCAUUAGCUAGUUGGUAAGGUAACGGCUUACCAAGGCAACGAUGCAUAGCCGACCUGAGAGGGUGAUCGGCCACACUGGAACUGAGACACGGUCCAGACUCCUACGGGAGGCAGCAGUAGGGAAUCUUCCGCAAUGGGCGAAAGCCUGACGGAGCAACGCCGCGUGAGUGAUGAAGGUCUUCGGAUCGUAAAACUCUGUUAUUAGGGAAGAACAUAUGUGUAAGUAACUGUGCACAUCUUGACGGUACCUAAUCAGAAAGCCACGGCUAACUACGUGCCAGCAGCCGCGGUAAUACGUAGGUGGCAAGCGUUAUCCGGAAUUAUUGGGCGUAAAGCGCGCGUAGGCGGUUUUUUAAGUCUGAUGUGAAAGCCCACGGCUCAACCGUGGAGGGUCAUUGGAAACUGGAAAACUUGAGUGCAGAAGAGGAAAGUGGAAUUCCAUGUGUAGCGGUGAAAUGCGCAGAGAUAUGGAGGAACACCAGUGGCGAAGGCGACUUUCUGGUCUGUAACUGACGCUGAUGUGCGAAAGCGUGGGGAUCAAACAGGAUUAGAUACCCUGGUAGUCCACGCCGUAAACGAUGAGUGCUAAGUGUUAGGGGGUUUCCGCCCCUUAGUGCUGCAGCUAACGCAUUAAGCACUCCGCCUGGGGAGUACGACCGCAAGGUUGAAACUCAAAGGAAUUGACGGGGACCCGCACAAGCGGUGGAGCAUGUGGUUUAAUUCGAAGCAACGCGAAGAACCUUACCAAAUCUUGACAUCCUUUGACAACUCUAGAGAUAGAGCCUUCCCCUUCGGGGGACAAAGUGACAGGUGGUGCAUGGUUGUCGUCAGCUCGUGUCGUGAGAUGUUGGGUUAAGUCCCGCAACGAGCGCAACCCUUAAGCUUAGUUGCCAUCAUUAAGUUGGGCACUCUAAGUUGACUGCCGGUGACAAACCGGAGGAAGGUG
rnacentral:rRNA from 1 species